GAUGUGUGUGUGUGUGUGUGUGUGUGUGUGUGUGUGUGUGUGUGUGUGUGUGUAGGUCGAUGGGAUGUGAGAGAGUGUAGGUCGAUGGGAUGUGAGUGUGUGUGUGUGUAGGUCGAUGGGAUGUGAGUGUGUGUGUGUGUAGGUCGAUGGGAUGUGAGUGUGUGUGUGUGUAGGUCGAUGGGAUGUGAGUGUGUGUGUGUGUGUGUGU